rnacentral:lncRNA from 1 species
GAAUGAUUUGACUUGGUACCAAAUUCACAAACUGGAGGAAAAAGAAAUCGCUGAUGCAGUAGAUUGAUUUACUUAUUAUUAAAUCUACAACCAUUUGCUUGCUUAUCUUCAUCUAUAUAUUGGAGAACCUCCUUAACUCAAGGGCCCAAAUUUCUGGUACUGAUGCCUUGAAAUGAAUGACUUUUACUAUCUUAUAAUCCCAGCUUGUAACCCCAGACUAAGAUCUUUGGGUUCUGAGGAAACACUAGAGGCCAAUUCACCGGGGGAAGCCCCAUUCUAAACCUUUCUUGUCAUUCAUAAAAGAGGUUACCCUUGUAUAGUGACCAUCCAAACUUUUCCAGAAAGGUGCAAAAUUUUUCAGUUAAACUGCAGCAGAUGGAACAGAGAUUGGAACAUACUCUGUAGAAUACAGAGACCCUCUCUUUCUACGAGGUGCACCAGCUACCAAGCUGUUCCUCUAUCAGAUUCAGUCCUGGCAUGGCUCAUGAAACUAAUGGAGCUGGCUUCCAAUCUCUAUCUUGAAUUAUAGUCAAUAUAUGUUGGCAGUCUGAGUUAGUACUGGGAAAGUUUUCUGCGAUUAUUCGAGUCUCUGAUCUACUUUCUCUAGUGGUCACUAGAUCACAUACGUGGCAUCGACCAUGGCGUCGGUCGGUGCUUUCCUUCAAAGCUUGGCGGUCCGGCGAAUAUGAAAAAGAUACUUCUAAUUGAGGAUGAAGAUGAAAAUGGUCGCUCCAUAUGCAAGAAUUCUCUGAGCUGCUUGACACAGACAAAAGUUAGAGAAUAAGAUGCACUUCUUAUCUUCAAGGAAUAAAUUCCAUAUGCUUGGUCUAUAAAAAGAGGGAGAUGGGAGCUCAGAAACCAAACUGGCCUCAACUCUUCUAAAACUAGCUUCAAGUAGGAGGUUGCAAAGUCUGUACAAUGUCUCUCAGGAGCCGCCGCCACCCACAUCAAUACCAGGAGAGCAGGUCUUCCUCAGAGGAUGAUUACUGCGCCUACGUGACGAAAAUAGAGAGGAAGACGAGCAUGGUUGAAGGGCCCUACUUCCCCCAUCUUCAGACUGUGUUCAAGCAGAAGGAAGUCCAUGAGGAGGAGGAGAAGUCCCAGCCUGGGCUGUUCGGCCGGCCGAGGCAGAAGGAGUGGUUUGAAGAGAAGGAGACAUAUGAAGUCUCUAAGACCUAGGACAUGGCCUUGCAAGGAGGAGAGUGCAUCAGGUGCAAUCAGUUGGUGGCUGUCAAGGAAGCUUAAGCAUUAUCUAUAGUUAUGUGGUGAUAGACAUGCUAUGGCUUUGCACCUUUAUAAAAUAAAUCUCUGGCUCUUCUGUUCUGCAUCCUAUCCAUUUGAAUAAUACUGUAGUUCUCUAGUAUCAAUGAAGGUAUACUUCCAUAUUUUAGCCUAAAACUUUCACUCUUAUAUGUUUCUCAGGUAGAUGUUUGAGAAGUCUAUGACAACC